UACGUAGGUGGCAAGCGUUGUCCGGAUUUAUUGGGUUUAAAGGGUGCGUAGGCGGCCCUGUAAGUCAGUGCUGAAAUAUCCCAGCUUAACUGGGAGGGUGGCAUUGAUACUGCGGGGCUAGAGUACAGAUGAGGUAGGCGGAAUUGACGGUGUAGCGGUGAAAUGCUUAGAUAUCGUCAAGAACACCUAUAGCGAAGGCAGCUUACUAGGCUGUAACUGACGCUGAGGAGCGAAAGCGUGGGGAGCGAACAGG
rnacentral:rRNA from 1 species